rnacentral:ncRNA from 1 species
UUACAGGUGCCGCAAAAGCACUGCUUUUGGGUGAAAAGGGAAUCGGGUGUAACUCCCGAACGUACUCGCCGCUGUGAUGAGCAAGCUGUGUCCAAAAUGUCACUGAGCAAUCGGGAAGACGGGCGCAGCGCCGAGCUUUAAGUCAGAAGACCUGCCGUAAAGUGA